rnacentral:snoRNA from 1 species
ACCCUCCAGACUCUCCUUACCCCUCAGAUCUCAACAUUGGUCUGAGUGGCCAUCAAAGGACAAAAAGUGAAAUUGAAGUGGACUUGGAUUCCUUAGGGAUAUACACGUUUGUUUCAAACAAAC